CACGUAAGCCCCGAGCGUUGUUCGGAAUUAUUGGGCGUAAAGGGCAUGUAGGCGGUUUUGCAAGUCUGGUGUGAAAGGCAGGAGCUCAACUCCUGGACUGCGCUGGAAACUGCAUGACUUGAGUUUCUGAGGGGCACUCGGAAUUCCUGGUGUAGGGGUGAAAUCUGUAGAUAUCAGGAAGAACACCGGUGGCGAAGGCGGGGUGCCAGCAGAAGACUGACGCUGAGGUGCGAAGGUGCGGGGAG
rnacentral:rRNA from 1 species